rnacentral:misc_RNA from 1 species
AUUUUCCGUAGGGUUCUUCUCUGAUCGCUUUCAACUUUCGAUAACAGAGAAACCUAGCAAUGUCAUCGUCACUCCAUACUGAAGAUUCUCAAUGGAAAAACCCUAGCAUUUAUAGCCGCAAGGACAAAUCGCUCGGUCUUCUUUGCUCCAAUUUCUUGAAGCUAUGUGAUCGGGAAGGGGUGGACUCCACCAUUGGUUUGGACAAUGCUGCAGAUCAAUUAGGUGUCGAGAGGCG